ensembl:lncRNA
UUUGUAUGGUCAUUUUGUAUAUAUAUAUAUAAGCAACUGUGAUCUCAAUUUAAAUCAAUGAUAAACAAUGGUUAAAUCAAUAACAUAGCCCUCUUCCCCAAUUUAAAUAGCUUUGGUUACGUUUCACAAGCAACAUCUGUUUUGACCACAGCUGUUUCAGAUGUAACGGUACAUCGGAUAAUUGUUAUUGUUGUAAAUAUGUGCAGGCCGGAGUGUGGUUGUCAGUCAGUGGUGUACAGACCGAUUUCUCGGUAAUUAACGCGGUGCUGAAAUUGGAGAGAUGUGGAGGUGGUGAAUUUGCUCCGCACCCGCCAAUCUGCCUGUCAGAGGGAUGCUGAAAAAUUUCGGUUUGAGAAAGAUAUGAAAUGAAGAAUAUCUUACGUGUCUUUGCUGAUGCGCUUCGGAGGAUGCUUCGCUGGAGAUGACAGCCCGUCUUCUUCUCGCCAUGUGCUGUAACAAAAGCAUCCCAUGCAUCCGAUGCCUGUCCCUUUAAAGCCUUGCUGCAUCCCUGCAGGUGGCCUGUCAAUUUAGCGGAUCCGAAUGACGUCACUGCAUGGCUGGAAAAGCUGUAAGUCAACUUUCACAAUAAAAGUCAUUCGCGA